UUCGUAGGCGGGAUAUUAAGUCAGUAGUGAAAUCCCGCAGCUUAACUGUGGAACUGUUAUUGAUACUGGUUUUCUUGAAUAUAGUUGAGGUAGGCGGAAUGUGUAAUGUAGCGGUGAAAUGCUUAGAUAUUACACAGAACACCGAUUGCGAAGGCAGCUUACUAAGCUAUGAUUGACGCUGAGGUACGAAAGCGUGGGGAGCGAACAGGAUUAGAUACCCUGGUAGUCC
rnacentral:rRNA from 1 species